UAUUCUGUUCUCUAAACCUGAUUGACUGGU
rnacentral:piRNA from 1 species